GGAUUAGAUACCCUGGUAGUCCACGCCGUAAACGAUGAGAACUAGAUGUUGGGAGGGUUACUUUUCAGUGUCGCAGCUAACGCGUUAAGUUCUCCGCCUGGGGAGUACGUCGGCAACGAUAAAACUCAAAGGAAUUGACGGGGACCCGCACAAGCGGUGGAGCAUGUGGUUUAAUUCGAUGCAACGCGAAAAACCUUACCAACCCUUGAAAUCUAGCGAAGUUCACAGAGAUGAGAAUGUGCCUUCGGGAACGCUAUGACAGGUGUUGCAUGGCUGUCGUCAGCUCGUGCCG
rnacentral:rRNA from 1 species